rnacentral:rRNA from 1 species
UACGGAGGGUGCGAGCGUUAAUCGGAAUUACUGGGCGUAAAGCGUGCGCAGGCGGUUUUGUAAGCCAGAUGUGAAAGCCCCGGGCUUAACCUGGGAAUUGCGCUUAAGACUGGACUGCUUUGAGUGCGGGGAGAGGUGAGUGGAAUUCCCAGUGUAGAGGUGAAAUUCGUAGAUAUUGGGAAGAACACCAGUGGCGAAGGCGGCUCACUGGCCCGCAACUGACGCUGAGGCGGCGAAAAGCGUGGGGAGCAAACAGG